rnacentral:rRNA from 1 species
AGGGAAUCUUCCGCAAUGGGCGAAAGCCUGACGGAGCAACGCCGCGUGAGUGAUGAAGGUUUUCGGAUCGUAAAGCUCUGUUGCCAGGGAAGAACGUCUCAUAGAGUAACUGCUAUGAGAGUGACGGUACCUGAGAAGAAAGCCCCGGCUAACUACGUGCCAGCAGCCGCGGUAAUACGUAGGGGGCAAGCGUUGUCCGGAAUUAUUGGGCGUAAAGCGCGCGCAGGCGGUUCUUUAAGUCUGGUGUUUAAACCCGAGGCUCAACUUCGGGACGCACUGGAAACUGGGGAACUUGAGUGCAGAAAAGGAGAGUGGAAUUCCACGUGUAGCGGUGAAAUGCGUAGAUAUGUGGAGGAACACCAGUGGCGAAGGCGACUCUCUGGGCUGUAACUGACGCUGAGGCGCGAAAGCGUGGGGAGCGAAC